rnacentral:rRNA from 1 species
AUUGAACGCUGGCGGCAUGCCUUACACAUGCAAGUCGAACGGUAACGGGCCUUCGGGUGCCGACGAGUGGCGAACGGGUGAGUAAUACAUCGGAACGUGCCCGAUCGUGGGGGAUAACGAGGCGAAAGCUUUGCUAAUACCGCAUACGAUCUACGGAUGAAAGCAGGGGACCGCAAGGCCUUGCGCGGACGGAGCGGCCGAUGGCAGAUUAGGUAGUUGGUGGGAUAAAAGCUUACCAAGCCGACGAUCUGUAGCUGGUCUGAGAGGAUGAUCAGCCACACUGGAACUGAGACACGGCCCAGACUCCUACGGGAGGCAGCAGUGGGGAAUUUUGGACAAUGGGCGAAAGCCUGAUCCAGCCAUGCCGCGUGCAGGAUGAAGGCCUUCGGGUUGUAAACUGCUUUUGUACGGAACGAAAAGCCUUCUUUUAAUACAGGAGGGUCAUGACGGUACCGUAGGAAUAAGCACCGGCUAACUACGUG